CCAACACGGAGUUUGACCAAAUGUUUCUCAGCAGCUUCUCGGUCUCCUGUCAGUGUCUGCCUCUGAUCCUGAUCGCAGUCCCGGUCCCGGGAAAGGAGCUGCAGGGACACAGCUCACAGAAACUACUCCCCCCGCUGCUGCUGCUGCUGCUAAAUGUUGUUGCUGCUGUUUCAGUCCCACAUUUUCCAAUGAAACCUCCAGUCUCCCUGAGCAGGACAAGGGCAGCAGGAUCACAGGAACAUACC